rnacentral:rRNA from 1 species
CCUACGGGAGGCAGCAGUGGGGAAUAUUGCACAAUGGGGGAAACCCUGAUGCAGCAACGCCGCGUGAGCGAUGAAGGCCUUCGGGUCGUAAAGCUCUGUCCUAAGGGAGGAUUCCUAAGGGAACCUAAGGGGGAACCCCGGGCUAAUUACGUGCCAGCAGCCGCGGUAAUAGGUAGGGGGCUAGGGUUAUCCGGAAUUACUGGGCGUAAAGGGUGCGUAGGCGGCCCUUCAAGUCAGAGGUGAAAGGCUACGGCUCAACCGUAGUAAGCCUUUGAAACUGUAGGGCUUGAGUGUAGGAGAGGAGAGUGGAAUUCCCAGUGUAGCGGUGAAAUGCGUAGAUAUUGGGAGGAACACCAGUUGCGAAGGCGGCUCUCUGGACUGUAACUGACGCUGAGGCACGAAAGCGUGGGGAGCGAACAGGAUUAGAUACCCCUGUAGUC